rnacentral:piRNA from 1 species
UGUCUAAAAGAGGCGGCUUUCUGCACCCU